UACUGUGGUAGUUUUCUUUUGGCACAUUUGUUAAAUUUUUAAAUGGGCCUGAUUCUGCCACAGAUAUUAUACAGGAGCCAGCAAAGGCUUGAUGACAAAGAGACUCCUCUCUGGCCUUUCCGGGAUGCAGAAGUUGGCUCCCACAUGU